rnacentral:tRNA from 1 species
CCCGGCUGUUUGAGUCAGUGGAGUGUGCAACUCUUAAUCUCAGGGAUGUGAGUUCAAGCCACAUGUUGGGC